rnacentral:rRNA from 1 species
GAUGAACGCUGGCGGCGUGCCUAAUACAUGCAAGUCGAGCGGACAGAUGAGGCGCUUGCUCCUCUGACGUUAGCAGCGGACGGGUGAGUAACACGUGGUUAACCUACCUAUACGACUGAGGUAACUUCGGGAAACCGGAGCUAAUACCGGGUAAUAUAUUUAACCGCAUGGUUGAAUAGUGUAAGACGGUUUUGCUGUCACUUCUAGAUAGAUCCGCGCCGCAUUAGCUAGUUGGUAACGUAACGGCUUACCAAGGCAACGAUGAGUAGCCGACCUGAGAGGGGGUACGGCCACACUGGAAGUGAAACACGGUCCAGACACCGACGGGAGGCAGCAGUAGGGACUCUUCGCAGAUGGGGGGAAUCUUGCCGGAGCAGCGCAGGGCGGAUGAUGAAGGUCUUCGGAGCGGAAAACUCUGUUAUGAGUGAAGACCAAUUGUGUAAGUAACUAUGCACGUCUUGACGGUACCUAGUCAGAAAGCCACGGCUAACUACGUG